GACGAACGCUGGCGGCGUGCUUAACACAUGCAAGUGGAGCGACGAACCGGGGCUUGCCCCGGGGCAGAGCCGCGAACGGGUGAGUAACACGUGGGUAACCUGCCUCAAUGAUUGGGACAACCCGGGGAAACUCGGGCUAAUACCAAAUGUGUUCACUCCUUUUAAGGGGAGUGAGGAAAGGAAACUUCGGCCUCCGCAUUGAGAUGGGCCCGCGGCCCAUUAGCUUGUUGGUGAGGUAACGGCUCACCAAGGCUUCGAUGGGUAGCUGGUCUGAGAGGACGAUCAGCCACACUGGGACUGAGACACGGCCCAGACUCCUACGGGAGGCAGCAGUGGGGAAUCUUGCACAAUGCGCGAAAGCGUGAUGCAGCAACGCCGCGUGGGGGAAGACGG
rnacentral:rRNA from 1 species